GUUGACGCAUCAUCAGCCGUUGGUUCCGAAGCAUAAUAAGCUGAAGUUGAAUCUGACAGUACUUGAGCAUCUUCUUGUUGAUUUCGUCUAUUUUUCUUGUAUAUUUAGCUUUUGAGGGUAGGUUCCACCGCUUGACUUGUGAACACUUCCGAACCAGUACAAGAGCUUCAUCGAUUAUAUCCUUGAAUUUCUUUAGUUCUCCAGCACCUGGCAACAUCUCGAUCUCUUCGAUUAUCGGAAGCACAUCCUCCAUCGUCGAUGCAAGCUCCAUAUACACAGAUUUGAAAGUCAACACCAUCUUAGCCUCUUCAAUAACAACUUUCAGGAGCUCAGAGACCACAGCUCCUGCAACAGAACCUACCCCCAAACUAACCACAUCGUUCAUUUCUUCUCUCACAAGCCCCAAAAACUUAUAACUCUCAGAUUUUGUCUGUAGAAUCUGAAUCUAGCUGAAAAUUUAUGAUGUUAAGAGGGGAUGAUUUGAUAAACAAUAAUGCAUAUAGAUAGAAACUUCAAUCUACCAACCAAACGACUUCCAUUUGCCCCCACCACUUGCCGGGCAGUUAAGAUUAUAUUGAUUGACUUUGAUAAUAUAGAAAAAGGUAAUAGUGACAGGGUUUUUAAGGCAAAUAAUUAUGAGGAUUCACUACUGAUUGCCCCCUACUUCCAUUUGCCCCUUACCACCAACAUUUCUAUUUUAUAAGGAUUCACUACUAUCUGCUGAUCAUCGUCCAAAUCGGUGUUGUGCAUGAAAUCUUGGCACAAUUUCUUUAUCAGUCAACAUGCAUCAUCAGAAAUUUAUAAUUUAAAUUUUCAUACAUGUAAAAUAAACUUACUAAAAUAAAUAUACUAACCACUCUCUUUUCACUCGUGUUUGAAUCAGACACAGACACAAAAACCAGUAACUCCAUGAUCCGACUCUGCCUCAUCUACAAAUUAUUUACGUAAAAGAUACAUUUUAUGUUAUUAGGCGCCAGAAUAUUUCAAUAAGAAAAGGUUAAGAAAAUGGGAGUGGAAGAGGAAAAUACUAAAAAAGAAAGAAGAUCUGGAAAAAAUUAUUUUUUAACUCUUCUACAAAGCUUAAAACACAAGAAAUAGAGAGACCGAGCACGUAAAGUAAAAUUGUUUCCAACCAUGAUGUAUUGCACUCCCACGUGACCCGCUGCCAUCCUUAACUUCGUCGUGUCCGUUUUUGAUCCUAACAAUAAGUGUAAUGCACUUAUUUUUCUUUCGUUAAGUCAUAAACUUGCUCCUCAAGUUUAUUCCUCUUUCCAUAUCUCCAAGAUACUCUCUUGCUCUUCAAGUCUACACGAUUCCAGCUCAGCAUCUUUACUCCACAUGGUCUUGACCACUCACCACGACAUCUACUUCAGCAAGUACGUCAUCGACUACUUCAGAGCAGACAUCUUACAUCAACAUUUGUGUUUCUAUUCUAUAUCCCCUAUAUAUUAUUUGAGAAUCAUUACAACAUUUUUUUGUAGUCACAUGUCAUCAUUUGAAUGAUUCUUAGAAUCCUUAUAGAAAUAGGUUAGUCCAUCUAAAUAUAUAAUAAGCUUUUUAUUAAAUUGACCAUAAAUACAUUAUUAAUGGACUUUAUUAUUUACUUAAAUAAAAUUACGGAAUUGUCUAAUGAAACUAAAGUAUAUGACAAUUAAUUGUAGAUUGUUAAUUAAUUUUAUGGUUACUUUAAUAAAAAAGUAUAUAAUAUAUGUUUAUUGGACCAACAUAUCUAGAAUGUUGUAAUGUUUUUCUUUUAAUAUAUAGGGGAUAUCGUCAUAUCUAACUUAAAUAUUCAAAACAUUACUAUGUUUGGGGAAGGGUUGCAACUAUAUAGUACUUGUAUAACAAUAUGGAAAUUAACAUUUCUAAUAUCUUCAAGCUUUUUUGGGUUACCCGUUCAGAUUUAGAUAUGUUUUAUACAAUUCUACAAGAUUCAUUCAUGUUAUUUUUACAUACCGGAUCGGGAACAAGUGCAGACCUAGCAAAUAGUAUAACACGGGGCACAUCAUAUAAGAGGUAAUUAACAAAAUUUAGUUGCUAUAGUUGGUUUUCAACCAAAUGUGCAUGUGGCAAUGUGAAGCUUAAAAUAUAUGUUCUCCUAAAUUUUCAAUAAAAUUAAUAAAAUUUAAAUUUUUGUAUGUGGCACUUGCCCCACCUAUUCAUCACCUGGGUCUGUCCCUGAUCGGGCAUUGAUUUGUUUCUUGUUCUGUUUGGAUCUUGGAUUCUUGGUUUUUAUCUAAUUUUUCACCAAAGCACGUUUAUAUUUUUUUUUGGAUUAAUGAAUUGUUCAAGCUUUUAGCAAAACUUUGUAAAUUCAGUAAUAUUAUGGUGAAUUUUGUUAUUUUUUAUUUUAGCAAAAUGACAUCGUUUUGAUUUCUGUAAAAAAAAAAUAUGUCGGUAAAGUGAAAGUUAAAGUUGACCAAAUUUUAUACCUGAUUUGGCUCGAUCACUAUAGAUUAAUAUGUUUUUGGAUCAGUAAAAAAAUUGUGAUUCUAAGGCGGAAAUGUUACAUCAUUUAUUUGACAGUUUUUUUCGUUUUCAGCAUAUAUUAUUAUUUGUAGAAGUUCAUUUGGUUUAAUGGUUUUAUUAAGGUUUCUAAUGCUUCUACAUCAAGAGGUAUGAGUUUUGAGUCUCAUAGAAAACGAAAUUAUACGAAUUAACGAAGAAAAAAGAUUACAAUAGAUAUGUAACAUAGUGUAAAGAAUAUCAUCAAGUGUGUGGAUCGAUAGAGCGGCUCAGGUGAUACAAUCAGACGUGAAACUUCAUAAAAAAAUGUAGAAUCGUCUGUAAUAUUUUCCAUAUAGCUUGUAAUAGAAUAAUUAUCAAGUGUUAAAAAAAACAUAUACUACUAUGUAUUGAAACUGAGAUGUCACAAUGCAAAAGCUGAAGCAAUGUCACCUUACCAGAAAAAAAAAACAACGGAACAAAAUACAUUAGCUGCCACUAGAACCGUGUCGUCAAGCAAGCCAAACUGACAUGUGGUUACGGAACCAUGUCGUCGAAAUACAGGGAUUUGAAACUACAGUUCAUUCAUAGUUCUCCAAAAUAACAUAUUUGUUAGAUAAAGUGAUUUCGUACGUUGUUGAAUCGCUUGAACAAUCACCAACAAUUUCUUCUGUCCAAGUAUCCGUUACAGGAUUUGACUGCACAUCGGGCUUGAUGGGCUCUUGUUCUAACUCAUCCAUCAAGUGUUUCUUCGUUUGGGCUGGAUUUUUAUUCUUCAUUUUGAUGGUCUGGCAACGGGUAAACCAUUUUAACAGGUGAGAAGCUUUGUGUUGCCGUUGCUUACAUGUGAGGACUGUUAAAAGUUGUUUCCUCUUCAGACUCGCUUUCGACUUGAAGUAGUACUCCCUCUUUUACAGCUUCUUUUACAAGUCGAACGCCAAUUUCUUCAAUUAAGAAUGGAAAUCCAUAGCAACGUUUCAAAAUCUGCAAACCCCACCGUGUGUGUUCCCACAAACAUGACAAUACAUAAGCUUUAAAAACUUGAAGAUAGAGUCUAGAAUAACAGAAGUGUAUGUAUUAUACCUCCUGGAAAAUAUGAUCAUUCUUAAAUGAUAAGUGGCGAAGUGAUGCCUUCUCAAUGAGAAGGGACUUAGCAUCUUCAUCUCCCAAAGGGUUCAUAUGACAAGUGGGACCAAAACUCGGAAACUCAAACCGAGAAGUCACCAGAAUCUUGAAAUUCAGUAUGUUAAUCUGAAAUUUCUGAAGAAAAGAGUCUGCUCCUUGGCACACAUCAUCCAGCACCAACAAUAUAGGACCCUCUUCUUGAAGUUCCUCAAGCAGAUUUCUUAAACCAUCAGCUGCUUGAGAAUCGUUCUCAAAUGUAGGUGCUUCAUAACCGUUGUGCUGGAGUAAAUUCUGUACUAUGGUUCUGAAGGUAGGAGCACUUGACAUGACACAAAAGAAGAUAUACUCGAACUUUUCUGCAAAUUAAUGGAAACUAGAAUUAAGCUCUCACAUCGAAGUUUAACUCAGACAUGAGUAAUAUAUAAAGAUCACCAACUGGUUUUAAGUUGUAAGCUUAUAAUAAACCCGGAUUUAACAAAAUCAGAAAUAAAAAUCAAGAGUAAUGAAAUUAAAAAAAGACUUUCAAAACCUUUGAUCUCAUCAUCAUGACAAAGCUGAGUGACCAAUGUGGUUUUCCCGCACCCGGGAGGAGCAGAGACCACAAGACUAACCACUGGAUCAUCAUCCUUAAAGAGCUUCGUCUUUAUUUCCAACAAUGGCAAAUCCAAACCAACGAGAACCUUAUCAAGCUUGGGGACCGAACAAAGAUCCCUAUAAACAGGCGGAUAAACACUCAAACCAUCGAUCUUCAUAUUGAUGCUUUUGAGAUGACUCUCAAUGGCUUCCCUCGUAUCCUCAGGCAGAAUAUCAGACAUCAUGGUAGACCCCUCCAACGGCAUACUCAUGUAAGAAAAAAAUCCGGAUUGAUGCAUAAUCAGCCGUUGGUUCCGAAGCAUAAUAAGCUGAAGUUGAAUCUGACAGAACUUGAGCACCUUCUUGUUGAUUUCCUCUAUUUUUCUUGUAUAUUUAGCUUUUGAGGGUAGGUUCCACCGCUUGACUUGUGAACACUUACGAACCAGUACAAGAGCUUCAUCGAUUAUAUCCUUGAGUUUCUUUAGUUCUCCUGCACCUUGCAACAUCUCGAUCUCUAUGACUGCUGGAAGCACA
rnacentral:lncRNA from 1 species